ACUAUAGUUUCAAUAAGAAAUAAUGGGAGCAUGAACUUUGCAGAAAAGAUAAAAAUGGAAUGAAGACAGAACUCUGUGAGAGAAAGAACAUAGUAACUAUUCUAAUGAUGUUGGGAUCCUCAGUCUUCCAGAGGAUGGCAAUGGGAUUUGCUAAUACAGGAUGGGAGAGAGAAUGAUGUGUGAGUGUCUGUGAUGAAGAUGUCACACUUACAGCAGAAACUGAGAAACAGUGGAUAACUUCUGAAAUCUUUGGGUAUAAUCAUCUAUCUUGUGUGAUCUAAUAAUUUAAGAAAGAAGUGAUUAUGCUGUUGAAAUCGUGAAGAUUUUACAGGUAACACUUCCUUUCCUUCCUUUGUUUUGAUAACAGAUGGAGAUAUUUACAAUUUU
ensembl:lncRNA novel transcript